AUUGAACGCUGGCGGCAGGCUUAACACAUGCAAGUCGAGCGGAGCGAGGGUGCUUGCACCUUAGCUUAGCGGCGGACGGGUGAGUAAUGCUUAGGACUCUGCCUAUUAGUGGGGGACAACAUUCCGAAAGGGAUGCUAAUACCGCAUACGCCCUACGGGGGAAAGCAGGGGAUCUGCGGACCUUGCGCUAAUAGAUGAGCCUAAGUCGGAUUAGCUAGUUGGUGGGGUAAAGGCCUACCAAGGCGACGAUCUGUAGCGGGUCUGAGAGGAUGAUCCGCCACACUGGGACUGAGACACGGCCCAGACUCCUACGGGAGGCAGCAGUGGGGAAUAUUGGACAAUGGGCGGAAGCCUGAUCCAGCCAUGCCGCGUGUGUGAAGAAGGCCUUUUGGUUGUAAAGCACUUUAAGCGAGGAGGAGGCUACUAGUAUUAAUACUACUGGAUAGUGGACGUUACUCGCAGAAUAAGCACCGGCUAACUCUGUGCCAGCAGCCGCCGUAA
rnacentral:rRNA from 1 species